GACAGGGUAGCCUAACGGCUACGGCGUCACGCCGCUCGCCGCCGUGACGAGGCGAGUUCGACUCUCGUCCCUGUCA